CAACGUGGCACGGAACGGCAUUGCAUCGGAGUAGGCACACUGCAAAGACGAGACGAAUCCUCCCCAGAGAGGGGAGGCGGUUAAGGAGAGGAGAUUGCGUGGCCCAGAGCAGCCAGACCUGAUGGUGUGCUUCUCACCUCAGCCUGGUAGCCUGACCUUGACUCCUGAGUUCCACGAUCGCUUCACAACUGCAAGUCACUAUCACACAAAAUUUGAGUUUCCCUAAGUCCGCGCCUUUGAGAGCUUUGGAACGAUAUGCAAGUUCAAGUCACCAUCCUGUUUCUUGCUACCUCCUGUGAGAAGACCAACAUUUGGGUUACUUGUUUCUACUCUUGUUCUUCUGCUUGUUAUUGUUGCCUCUGCAGCCAUUGAUCACACACGUGUUGUCAUACAAAAACUGGUUAGCCUUUUUAUUUGUCUUGUGAAUUUUAUCAUUUGGUUCUUAAGUAUUACAAAUUGAUAUUGUGUACUCUCAUUGAUAUACAACUUUCAGUCAUUGUAAAUAUGCGUGAGUUAGGGUGAGAAUGGCAUGCAAGCAAAAGAACAAGAAGAGGGAUGAUAGAGAUGCAAGAAGAAUAAAGAGGGUAAGAAAGUUUAUGUUAAUAGUGAACGCAAUGAAAGUUCUUUAAAUGCUUGAUAAUGGUGAAAGCAACACUUCCUAGGGCAUAUUUUUGGUGUUAAUGAACCUACACAUCAUACAAUAAAGAAAAUUGAGAAAGC
rnacentral:lncRNA from 1 species